rnacentral:rRNA from 1 species
AAUGAACGCUGGCGGCGUGUCUUAAGCAUGCAAGUCGUGCGGCAAGGGUAGCAAUACCCCUAGAGCGGCGGACUGGUGAGUAACGCGUGGGUGAUCUGCCCUUGGGUUGGGGAUAGCCAUUAGAAAUAGUGGGUAAUACCGAAUACGAUGGCGAGACUGUGUCUUGUCAUGAAAGGCGCUUCGGCGCCACCCGAGGAUGAGCCCGCGUCCCAUUAGCUAGUUGGUGAGGUAACGGCCCACCAAGGCGAUGAUGGGUAGGCGGCCUGAGAGGGUGUACGCCCACACUGGGACUGAGAUACGGCCCAGACUCCUACGGGAGGCAGCGGCUAAGAAUAUUCCGCAAUGGACGAAAGUCUGACGGAGCGACGCCGCGUGGAUGACGAAGGCCGAAAGGUUGUAAAAUCCUUUUGUUGGGGAAGAAUAAGGCUGGGAGGGAAUGCCCGGCUGAUGACAUGAACCGACGAAUAAGUCCCGGCUAACUACGUGCCAGCCGCCGCGGUAA